rnacentral:ncRNA from 1 species
GCUCAAGGUUAAUGUAUGUUUAUCUGUAUGGCAAAUCUGAUCGCUAUGAAAUAUUGUGGGCUAUAGACGUGCCACAUAUACCUAUACAAAGAGAUGCGAAAAUGUGAAUUUAAGCUAAUCUCAAAAAGUAGGAUAAAAUAUGGAUUGUAGUCUGAAAUUCGACUACAUGAAUAAGGAAUUACUAGUAAUCGUGAAUCACCACGUCACGGUGGAUUUAAUCUC